rnacentral:rRNA from 1 species
UAGCGGAGGAAAAGAAACCAACUGGGAUUGCCUUAGUAACGGCGAGUGAAGCGGCAAAAGCUCAAAUUUGAAAUCUGGUACCUUUGGUGCCCGAGUUGUAAUUUGGAGAGUACCACUUUGGGACUGUACUUUGCCUAUGUUCCUUGGAACAGGACGUCAUGGAGGGUGAGAAUCCCGUGUGGCGAGGGUGUCAGUUCUUUGUAAAGGGUGCUCGAAGAGUCGAGUUGUUUGGGAAUGCAGCUCUAAGUGGGUGGUAAAUUCCAUCUAAAGCUAAAUACAGGCGAGAGACCGAUAGCGAACAAGUACAGUGAUGGAAAGAUGAAAAGAACUUUGAAAAGAGAGUGAAAAAGUACGUGAAAUUGUUGAAAGGGAAGGGCAUUUGAUCAGACAUGGUGUUUUGCGCCCCUUGCCUCUCGUGGGCUUGGGACUCUCGCAGCUCACUGGGCCAGCAUCGGUUUUGGCGGCCGGAAAAAACCUAGGGAAUGUGGCUCUGCGCCUCGGUGUAGAGUGUUAUAGCCCUGGGGAAUACGGCCAGUCGGGACCGAGGACUGCGAUACUUGUUAUCUAGGAUGCUGGCAUAAUGGUUAUAUGCCGCCCGUCUUGAAACACGGACCA